rnacentral:rRNA from 1 species
GAUGAACGCUGGCGGCGUGCCUAAUACAUGCAAGUCGAGCGAACGGACGAGAAGCUUGCUUCUCUGAUGUUAGCGGCGGACGGGUGAGUAACACGUGGAUAACCUACCUAUAAGACUGGGAUAACUUCGGGAAACCGGAGCUAAUACCGGAUAAUAUUUUGAACCGCAUGGUUCAAAAGUGAAAGACGGUCUUGCUGUCACUUAUAGAUGGAUCCGCGCUGCAUUAGCUAGUUGGUAAGGUAACGGCUUACCAAGGCAACGAUGCAUGGCCGACCUGAGAGGGUGAUCGGCCACACUGGAACUGAGACACGGUCCAGACUCCUACGGGAGGCAGCAGUAGGGAACCUUCCGCAAUGGGCGAAAGCCUGACGGAGCAACGCCGCGUGAGUGAUGAAGGUCUUCGGAUCGUAAAACUCUGUUAUUAGGGAAGAACAUAUGUGUAAGUAACUGUGCACAUCUUGACGGUACCUAAUCAGAAAGCCACGGCUAACUACGUG